GUAGGGAAUAUUGGGCAAUGGAUGCAAGUCUGACCCAGCCAUCCCGCGUGCCGGAAGAAGGCCCUCAGGGUUGUAAACGGCUUUUGACGGUGAAGAAUAGGCGGGAUGCGUCCUGUUUUGACGGUAGCCGUUGAAUAAGCACCGGCUAACUCCGUGCCAGCAGCCGCGGUAAUACGGAGGGUGCGAGCGUUGUCCGGAUUUAUUGGGUUUAAAGGGUGCGUAGGCUGGGAGGUAAGUCAGCGGUGAAAAGCACACGCUUAACGGGUGUCUUGCCGCAGAUACUACUUUUCUUGGAUGAGGAGGAGGUCACUGGAACGGAUGGUGUAGCGGUGAAAUGCAUAGAUAUCAUCCAGAACACCGAUUGCGAAGGCAGGUGACUGUACCUUAAUCGACGCUGAGGCACGAAAGCGUGGGGAGCGAACAGGAUUAGAAACCCCUGUAGUCC
rnacentral:rRNA from 1 species